rnacentral:rRNA from 1 species
CAAUAGCGUAUAUUAAAGCUGUUGCGGUUAAAAAGCUCGUAGUUGGAUUUCUGUCAAGGACAACUGGUCCGCCCCUCGGGUGAGCACAUAGUUUGGUCUUGGCAUCUUGUUGGAAACUGUUGCUGCACUUGGUUGUGUGGCGCAGUGUCCAGCACUUUCACUUUGAGGAAAUUGGAGUGCUUCAAGCAGGCACAUGCCUUUGGACACAGUAGCAUGGAAUAAUUAGAUUGGGCUUUUGCUCCAACUUGUCGGUUUCUGGAGCUGAGGUGAGAAUUAAUGGGGAUUGUUGGGGGCAUCCGAAUUUAGCCGUCAGAGGUGAAAUUCUUGGAUCUGCUAAAGACGGACAACUGCGAAAGCGUUUGCCCAGGAUGUUUUCAUUGA